CCUACGGGGGGCAGCAGGCGCGAAAACUUUACAAUGCGGGAAACCGUGAUAAGGGGACACCGAGUGCCAGCAUCAUAUGCUGGCUGUCCAGAUGUGUAAAAUACAUCUGUUAGCAAGGGCCGGGCAAGACCGGUGCCAGCCGCCGCGGUAACACCGGCGGCCCGAGUGGUGAUCGUGAUUAUUGGGUCUAAAGGGUCCGUAGCCGGUUUGGUCAGUCCUCCGGGAAAUCUGAUGGCUCAACCAUUAGGCUUUCGGGGGAUACUGCCAGGCUUGGAACCGGGAGAGGUAAGAGGUACUACAGGGGUAGGAGUGAAAUCUUGUAAUCCCUGUGAGACCACCUGUGGCGAAGGCGUCUUACCAGAACGGGUUCGACGGUGAGGGACGAAAGCUGGGGGCACGAACCGGAUUAGAUACCCGGGUAGUCCCAGCCGUAAACGAUGCUCGCUAGGUGUCAGGCAUGGCGCGACCGUGUCUGGUGCCGCAGGGAAGCCGUGAAGCGAGCCACCUGGGAAGUACGGCCGCAAGGCUGAAACUUAAAGGAAUUGGCGGGGGAGCACAACAACGGGUGGAGCCUGCGGUUUAAUUGGACUCAACGCCGGACAACUCACCGGGGACGACAGCAAUAUGUAGGCCAGGCUGAAGACCUUGCCUGAAUCGCUGAGAGGAGGUGCAUGGCCGUCGCCAGUUCGUACUGUGAAGCAUCCUGUUAAGUCAGGCAACGAGCGAGACCCGUGCCCACUGUUACCAGCAUGUCCUCCGGGACGAUGGGUACUCUGUGGGGACCGCCGAUGUUAAAAUCGGAGGAAGGUGCGGGCCACGGUAGGUCAGUAUGCCCC
rnacentral:rRNA from 1 species